UUUAGUGGUUAAUUAAGAUAUUAUUAUGUACCUAUAUGUCAAGUUUCAUCAAAUUCUGAACGUCAAUACUAAAACCGGUAGUACUACCUUAAAUCACAAAAUCCUGAAAUUUUUAACU